UUACGAAAGGGGGAUGAUCUGGUGGCCUGACUGAAUAACAUAAGCCCUUUAAAAUCAGAGAGUUUUCUCCAGCUGGUGGCUGACAAGAAAGGCAGAAAUUUGACACAGGAGAAUUUGACAUAUUUUUAUUGGCUUAAGAAGAGAAAGGGCCACGUGGUAAGGAAUGUAGAUGACCUCUAAGGGCUGAAAAGGAUUCCAGUUUACAAUUGUUAGCAAGCUUUACCACAUUCUGUGUGGCGAAACAAGGGAAUUUCUGGAAGAACCAGUCAAGGAGAACAGGAGGCUUGACCAGUAGCACCCUGCGCACUUGGGCUGGGGAGCAGCUUCUGUGGACUCCACACAGAGCUGAGCCUGGGACACCAGGAUCGGGUCACCUAGAGGCCUGUGUGACUUCAGCCGCAGGAGGGAUGAACAUGUGAUGGCAGGAGCAGCAGAGAUGUGUUGCCCUUGAUUCCCGCACUCUGGGGCAGCCUGACUCAGCGACAGUAUGCAGGUGGGUGAGCGCCUCCUUCCUUACUCAAAGCCUCAGGCACCUGCCAUUCUGUUCUCCCCUAAUAGCCCUGGGUCCUGUCUGAGCCAGGGGUGAUAGUAUUUGGCCUCAAUGAGUGUUCAAUGACUGCCAGAAAGAAGAGCUCAGUUCUCCACCAGCCUGCCCCCAUGGAUCCCCAGCAGGCCACCUCACCAGGCAGUGGGACGCAGACUAAUUGUGUUUGUCUCCCACUCAGACAACUGUUCAGGCCCAUUUUGAAAUCAUGCAUUACAUAUUUCUAGAGACAUUUGUAAGUGCAGCAAAUACAUUUAAAUGUUUUGUUGUUGGCUGGUUAAGAAAGAGAAAAAAAAUUAAAAAUGAGCAUAGGGACCAGGAUCUCCACCAAGCUCUUUACUGGAGUUGGUCUUCACCUUGAAACCUUCAUUGCAGAGGCACUGGUAUCCGACAGUGACCUUCAUCCCCUUACCUUGGGCCUUUUCUACUGCAAAUGUGGUCCCUUGUACCCAUCAGUUCUUCUCCAACUCUUUUCCUUCCUCAAAGAACUAACUUUUGGCUUUGUUUGCUUUCCCUGUAAUAUGUUUUUUAAUCUAUUAAUUCUGCUCAUUAAUAUUUUUUCUUCUGUUUUCCUUGGAUUAAAUUUGUCUGAAUUAGGCUUAUUGAUUUUCAGUCUUUCUUUUUUCUCUCAUCUUAAAUAUUCAUUUGGAUCCUUGAGUUAUUUAGAAGUAUGUUGCAUAAUUUCCAAAUAUUUCGGAGAUUUUCUAAUUAUCGUUCUCUGAUUUAUUUAUAUUUUAAUUCUAUUGUAGUCAGAGAACAUAUUACAUAUAAUUUGAAUCCUUUGAAAAAAAAGUUAAGACUUCCUCUUAGGCUAACAUACAGUGUAUUUGGCAAUGUCUGCUAUUAGCACAAUGUUACAGCUUCAAAAUCUGGAAGAUGUCCUAAACAGGGUGGCUGGCUGUGUGUUUGAAUGGCAAGACUUCUUCCUUUAAUUAGACUUUUUCCCCUUAGCACCAUGAAACUAGAGGAGAUUUUAUUAUGACUUUUUGAAGUCUUUAAACAAAUGUCCCAGCCUUCUUUGCAUAGCCCCUGAACCCAGAAGAUGUCCCGGGGGAAAACCAGCUAUGUGUUUAGCACUUACCAAAUUUCUGGUUUCUCCCACCAGCCCCACGUGACUGCCAAAAACCUCUCUGGUUUCUCUUUCCCCAAGUAGAUUCCUUCUUUAUAAGUCAAGUCAAAUUCUUAGUCCAUGCCCAGAAUUGUAAAAUGUCCCCAGGGAAGAAAACAAUUGGUGAUUUAUGUAGCCUUCAUUGCUUCCUCAUUUUCUGAGAUUCUUAAAAAUGUGACUUUCUUAAUUUAUCUGGUUCUUUAUAAUUGUUGCAAUGGGAAUUCUAGUCUGCUACGAUCUUACUACGUUUUAUUCAGGAACAGAAGUCCCCUGAUCUUUAUGUUUUAAGAGUAAAAGCCCACUAAUAUGGGUACGACUUCAAAGAUUGAAAAGGGCUAUGGCCUGCUUUCAGUACUUGGAUUCCUGGAGGAGUGAAGUUACAUUGGUGGUCCAGACUUGGGCCCUUAAUUGCAGAGGCUCUGAGAAAAUAAGUCAUAUGGCUUCAGGAGAUAUUGCUAGACUUGAUGCAGGGAGGAAAGCUGUCAAAAUGAAUGGGAGGUUUUGAAUGAACCAUGUACCCUUGCAGUAACAAUUAUAGUUAGCAGCAAUCAAAACUGAUAAAAUGACUGAGUCUCUCCAUUUUCCUAGAUAUAAAUUCAAAUAUGAUUGAAAGAUAAGAAAGGUGUCCUUCCAUCUUUUUAUGGGUGGUGUUUAAAUUAAAUUAAAUUUGAUUCUGAAAACUGAAUAAAUUUUUACUCUGUGUUUCAGAAUACUUGUUGUACUGUUAUUCUUACAGGUGUGACCAGGCAACUGAGUAUAAAAUUGAUUCAGAGAUAUGGUACUUUGAAUAUGAAGCUUUAUGAGUACCUUAAGUUUAUUUUGCUUAUUUUGUCUUUUUUCUCCUAUAUACACACACACAUGCACAUGUGUGUAUAUACAUAUAAAUGUAUAUAUUAAAUAUGUAUGUGUGUGUAUAUAUAUUUUGCUCUACUUUCUAUUU
rnacentral:lncRNA from 1 species